rnacentral:hammerhead_ribozyme from 1 species
CCAUUGCAGAGGAGUCCCAUAAUAGGACGAAACAGCCGUUCAGUGC